rnacentral:lncRNA from 1 species
UUGGUAUACAUGGGAUCGGAUUCUUUAGACAAGUCUGGAAGGUAACGCCUGGUGUAGAUUAUUUAUCACAUUUUCUCUCUCUAAAUUUCGACCCUAGAAUAGUUAGUGAGUAUUUUUUUUAAAAAAAAAGAAAGAUCUAUUGUUUACUUAGGAUGAGUCUGAACAGGACUUGGUGGCUAAAACCAUUAAGGCUUGAUUCAUAAAGACUCCAAUAAAAGAGUUCGAAACGGGACUUGGAGGCGGCAAUCUUCAAGGCUCGCUUUCACAAAGUACUCUUGGAUAUAGGUCAAAAAGAAGUGAACAGAGCUUGGUGGCAACCACCAUUAAGUUUUGAUUCAUGGAAGCCUGUCCAAUCUUGGUCACUGAUCCUGCAAUGGAAGAAGACUUUGACUCAAGAGAGAAAAUAAGAGAGAGAGAAACUAUGAACUAACUUUUACCUGCAGCUCCAGAUACUUGUCUGAAAUCCUUGCUUCCUA